AAAUCUGUAGAGAUAUAGGAAGGGUGAAAUUACAGCCAGAGGAAAGGCUUUUAGAGAUGGAAUUGCUGUCAGUUUUGUGAUUCAAAAAGGAAAGCACCAGCAUAGAAAGAAGUGCUGGGUCUGGCUAGGAUGGAGAUUGUAAAUUUAAGCAGAAGAAUAUAUUGUCAUUUUCUGUAGACUACACAGUAGGCCUGUAAAAAGAUAAAACCAGGAAAUCAAUGGCACUCAGCUUCAUGGUGGUGAAACAGCUGUAAAAAAGGAUUCUAGAAAAUGUCAGAAGCCCUAUUUCAGCAAAGAUCUGAAUACAUUUGAAUCUAUCUCUUUUUGACUGCAUCAACAUCAGCACACAUUAAUUCUCCUUUGCAUGGAUUCCGUGUGUUAUUUGAAACGUUUUCGACGAAGGCCAUAUCAGAAACUCAGUAUUCAGCUCCACAGUAAACAGGCAUAGUACUGUUUGUCAGAUAAUCUCUCUGCAGAAGCUUGUUGCUGUAGCAACAUGUUGGAAGAACCAGGAUGCCAAAGUGGCCAUGCCAUACGUGCAUACAAUGGAACAGUGGUUCCAUGAGAAAAAAAGUUGAAACAAAAAAGCAAAUCCAUCUGCAGCACUGCUGAAUGAUGAAUGCUGGAGUAUUU